rnacentral:rRNA from 1 species
UACGAAGGGGGCUAGCGUUGCUCGGAAUCACUGGGCGUAAAGGGUGCGUAGGCGGGUCUUUAAGUCAGGGGUGAAAUCCUGGAGCUCAACUCCAGAACUGCCUUUGAUACUGAGGAUCUUGAGUUCGGGAGAGGUGAGUGGAACUGCGAGUGUAGAGGUGAAAUUCGUAGAUAUUCGCAAGAACACCAGUGGCGAAGGCGGCUCACUGGCCCGAUACUGACGCUGAGGCACGAAAGCUAGGGUAGCGAACGGG